GGAACCUGGGAAUGGGGAAGGAUAUUAAAGGAAUAAAGGUUUUGACAUCGCUGGAUGCCAGCAAAGCUGAGUGCUUAUAUCAAGAAAACUAGAUUUUAGAUUUGAAAAAUUAAGAAGAGCUGGAUGGAAAAACUCGGCUGCAAAUGUCAUAGUGGCAUAGAUGGAGACUGGAAUUGAACCCAAAUUGUAACCAGAAUGUAUUGCACCCAAAAAUGCAAAUAAAUGGAUCUGUAACCG
rnacentral:lncRNA from 1 species